rnacentral:rRNA from 1 species
UAGUGGCGCACGGGUGCGUAACACGUAUGCAACCUACCUAUUAUUGGGGGAUAGCCUUUGGAAACGGAGAUUAAUACCGCAUAAUACGAUUGACUGGCAUCGGUUGAUUGUUAAAGCUUAGGCGAUAAUAGAUGGGCAUGCGUCCAAUUAGUUAGUUGGUUAGGUAACGGCUGACCAAGACGAUGAUUGGUAGGGGAUCUGAGAGGAUAAUCCCCCACACUGGCACUGAGAUACGGGCCAGACUCCUACGGGAGGCAGCAGUAGGGAAUAUUGGGCAAUGGGCGGAAGCCUGACCCAGCCAUGCCGCGUGCAGGAAGAAGGCGUUAUGCGUUGUAAACUGCUUUUUUAUAGGAAGAAGGAUCCCUUGCGAGGGAAGGUGACGGUACUAUAAGAAUAAGCACCGGCUAACUCCGUGCCAGCAGCCGCGGUAAUACGGAGGGUGCAAGCGUUGUCCGGAUUUAUUGGGUUUAAAGGGUGCGUAGGCGGUUUAUUAAGUCAGUGGUGAAAGACGGUCGCUCAACGAUUGCAGCGCCAUUGAUACUGGUAGACUUGAGUGAGAUUGAGGUAGCUGGAAUGGAUAGUGUAGCGGUGAAAUGCAUAGAUACCGGAAGGAAUACCAAUUGCGAAGGCAGGUUGCUACGAAUAAACUGACGCUGAUGCACGAAAGCGUGGGGAUCAAACAGGAUUAGAUACCCUGGUAGUCCACGCCGUAAACGAUGAUUACUAGUUGUUGGGGUUUAAUCUUCAGUGACCAAGGGAAACCGAUAAGUAAUCCACCUGGGGAGUACGCCGGCA